rnacentral:rRNA from 1 species
GCUUAGUAUUGGAUUCUGGUUCUGCAUGUGUAGGAUAGGUGGGAGGCUUUGAAGCUCCGGCGCCAGUCGGGGUGGAGCCGACCUUGAAAUACCACCCUUGUUUUGCGAGAAUUCUAAUCCUGACCCUUGAAUCAGGGCAGGAAACAGUGCUAGGUGGGUAGUUUGACUGGGGCGGUCUCCUCCUAAAAGGUAACGGAGGAACCCAAAGGUUCCCUCAGCAUGGUCGGUAAUCAUGCGAAGAGCGCAAAGGCAUAAGGGAGCUUGACUGUGAGGUCGACGGACCGAGCAGGUACGAAAGUAGGGCUUAGUGAUCUGGUGGUUCCGAAUGGAAGGGCCAUCACUCAAUGGAUAAAAGGUACGCCGGGGAUAACAGGCUUAUCUCCCCCAAGAGUUCAUAUCGACGGGGAGGUUUGGCACCUCGAUGUCGGCUCAUCACAUCCUGGGGCUGGAGAAGGUCCCAAGGGUUGGGCUGUUCGCCCAUUAAAGUGGUACGUGAGCUGGGUUUAGAACGUCGUGAGACAGUUCGGUCUCUAUCCGCCGUGGGCGCAGGAGAAUUGAAGGAAUCUGCUUCUAGUACGAGAGGACCGAAGUGGACGAACCGCUGGUGCACCAGUUGUUUCAUCAGAAGCAUCGCUGGGUAGCUAUGUUCGGAAAGGAUAAGCGCUGAAAGCAUAUAAGUGCGAAACCUGUCCUAAGAUUAGUUCUCCCUAUCAUCUUGAUAAUAAGGCUCGUUGUAGACUACGACGUUGAUAGGCCACAAGUGUAAGUGCAGUAAUGCAUUCAGCUGAGUGGUACUAAUUAGCCGAAUGGCUUUAUCAA